GUCUAUGGCCAUGACACCCUGAACACAUCUGAUCUUGUCUGAUCUCGGAAGCUAAGUAGGGUCGGGCUUGGUUAGUACUUGGAUGGGAGACUACUUAGGAAGACCAGGUGCUGAAGGUG
rnacentral:rRNA from 1 species